GCUAUUUUUGUGGCCGUGGACUGUGGUUUGAUAAGUUGGUGGGAGUCUAGCUAGCUUCAGUCUUAUAUGCGUCGGCCUGACGGGGCUCAAGCUCAGCUGGAUCAGGGAUAAGUUUGAUAAAUUGUCUGCGAGAGGGAAGGAAAUGUCGCCAGCAUGAUUGCUCCAGCCUCCACCGCAUGCUCCUGCAAAUAGUCUGUUAUCUGUAGCUGAGGUGAUCUCUGUCUUGCCGUGUUGUUAGGUCCGGGUCUAGUUUUAUAUCCGGAGGUUUGGAGCAGGGAGGGCGUAGAGCAGAGUGUGUAGAUAAUGGCAAGUGGGCAAGUGGCUACUGGGUUGAUUUGGUGCUUGUUCGUUUGGAGCCUGACGCGAUGAGAGAACUGAAGAAAUUGUUCAGAAGAGAUGGACGUAGGAUGUCUUUUUUAGGGCAAGUGUCUGUGGCUUGUACAGUUGUAGACUGUAUUUGGGCUGCAAAGCUUCCAGAUAGAAGGGCCGGCCUUUUAGGCCCAUUGUAUUAGGAAAACUUUACGGACCGCAGGAGGCCCAGGUAUCCACGGUCGAUUGAUCGAUCGAGAGAGGUCGGAAAUCGACUGUACCCGGGCGUCGGCGGCGGGGCACCGGCGACGACGGGAACCGCCGCGUUGAGGCCGCGGCGUCCACGUGAAAGGUUGCGUUGAAGCAGCGGCGACGACCGGAUCCAGUGCGUGGCGGAGGCAACGGGAGGCAGGCGGCCGUCAUACACGAAAAUGUGUGUCCUCCUGCAUUUCCGUGGUGGGUCACCAGGAUCUUGAUCCGCAGUGGUUCUCAACUGCUCAUCGAGGUAUGCUUUGGCCAUGGUCUUGAUCUGAUCUGAGGUUGUAGAUUUAUGGCGAGAUGUGGGGAGUUUGUUGCAGCUACUGAUGUGCAUUUCAGUAUUUUUUUUAUGUUGAUGCUUGGGAAAUUGGAUGUGUUCAUAGAAAUUGGGGCUCCCACUGCCCCAGGGUGUCUGUUUUGAAAAUUUUGAUGCAUUAAGAAGGAAUGCAGUUGUAAUUGCUCAUCUCAUGGUGUCUUCAGUGCUUCACGUGUUCAUUUUUUUCUCCCAAAAUUAGUGGACGUCAAAAUACACUUGUAAACUGUUAAAUUUGAGAAAUAUUACAAAGUUCCCAAACGAGGCAAAGUAGUAUUUUAGCAGAAGUAUACUCAAAAUAGAAGGAAUAAGGUGCCCUGUAUCAAGUGGACUAGUGACAUCUUGCUAGCUCUGAAUAGUAUGACUUCCAGGAUAAGUUUUAAAGGGACAGUUCACCUGGUAGCCAAACCCUAUAUCAAACUAGCUCCACCAUUACAAGAUCACAACCAAGAAUAUCAAUAAUUCAGCAAGUGUUAUCAGGUGAAGGAACACCGAGUCCAGUUUUCUUAAGAAGACAAAAGUAUCAAAAGAUAAGUUCUAUAAGCCAGAAAGAGUGAAGUGUUGUGUUAGUUAGUCGAACUGUGAACUAACUAUGGUUGGAAAAGAUCGUAAAUAACCAAUUAUAGCUAUGAGAUGUGCUGUCAUCUUUGUCUUAUGAUUGAUCUGAAAAGAAAUGUUUCACUGUUGGAAAGGGAUCAUCAAAGGUUAUGAAAGGCCCGCAUAAAGAAUAAAAGGGAUUAUCAAUAUCAGGAAUAUGGAAUGCAUCCUGCGAAGAAAACGGUUAAUACAAGUAAGAUUAUUGAAGCAUAGAUCAAGUUAGAGAGAAUGCAGUAGAGAUAACUCAAGGAGUUCUUCCAGUAAGUGAACAAGAACCACCUCCCAAGAAAAGAAAAUAUUACAAAACAAAGACCAAGAUGGCUAAAGUUGAAGUAAUUCCUAGAAAGUGAAGUCAUGACCUACUAAAGUUUGAUGAAGCAUCAACCUCAAAAGCAGUGUGGGACGAUUUAAAAUGGUAUUCGAUAUUGCAGUGAGAAUUUUGACCAAACGAAUAUCAAUGACGGGAUUCUUCAAGGUGGGUAGAAUGUUACAGUCUGUUCUUAAAAAAAGAAUCAGUUUUAAUAAAACUCAUUUGAAAUUGUUGUAUUUUGAAUAUGAACCAGAAAUUUUAGUUCUCCUUUUUUUUGAACAAAAGAAAUUUAGUUCUCUGUGCUAAGCCCAUCCUCCUUUUUAUUCUGCAUCUAGGCCACCUCUGGCCCAUCUCCUUACCACUCUGCCUAGCCCAUGCCGUCACCAUCGGCGGCUGUGUCCAGCGCGUGCCCAUCCACAUAGCAUACAUAUUUGGUUAAAUAAAAUGUGUUCGUAUAUAGGGCCAAGCUGCCAAAUACUACAUCUCACUGGUAUUAUUUAAUAUGACUCUAACCCUUUCAUCACUUUCAAGGGAAGUACAAGUAUAAUAUACCUGAGUUAACAUUGUUGACAAUUUGCUGUUAAUUUAUUCUUGUCAGCAUAUUUCAACUGGAACAAAUUCCUUGGAUAGUGCUGUGUGCAGUGAUCUACAGGAAGAACUAUUUGAAAGACUUUUCAGGUGAAAGUCUGAGAGCCAUCUUAAUUACCAGGUAUGCGGGGUCCAUUUCUUGCUAUGUUGCUAAUAUGGUAAAAUGGUUAUUAUUCUGAUAGACCGGAGCUACAUGUUCUCAGCCUACAAUAACAGUAAGGACAUGCUGAGGGGCCAAAAGUCCACAAAAAAAUAAAUAAGUCGAGGGGUCAAAUCUAACUGCAUGUGAUGAAUGUUUCGUCACUUUUCCAAAAAAAAAGAAGUAAACUAGAGACAAUUUAGCAAAUGCAAGCUUAGCUUCCUGUAUUCCUUCCGCUCAACAAUACAACUUUUGAAUUUGAUAAAAUAAAUAUUAAUAACAUCAAUUGUGAAAUAUAUUUGUAAAAUAUUACAUUAGAGCCGAACCAGGGCGUUCAGUUAUAGCUGCAAGUAGUCUUGGCAUCGGGGGCAUAUCAAUCUCCUGGAGACCCUCAAGAACCAGAACCACUUCACUCAUCGUCGGUCGAUUGAACUCAUUAUCUUGGAUGCACCAUAAUGCUACUUUGGCAACCAAUUCAGCCUGUUCCAAAUCAAAUUGGCCAUGUAAUUGUGGAUCCACCAAGCCCUGCACAUUUCCCCCAUGAAGGAUGCUAAUGGCUCGCACUGGAAAAUAUUCAACAUGAUCACCGCUGCCACUAUAUGCUUCAGGUGAAUUCCUCCUUCCUGAUAUGAUUUCCAGCAUUACCAUGCCAAAGCUAUAAACAUCAACUUUUGGUGUAACAGCAACUCCGCUAAGCCACUCUGGGGCAAGAUAGCCUAUGGUUCCUCGGAAUGUAGUCAGAACUCGGCUAAAAUUCCUUCCCACGAAUGCUGCCAUUCCAAAGUCUCCAACCUUAGGGAAAAAUGACGCAUCGAGAAGUAUGUUUUCUGGCUUAAUAUCACAGUGUAUGAUGCACUCGCGGCAACUCUGAUGCAAGUAGGAUAGUCCUCUAGCAACUCCUAUGACUAUCUGGUACCUGAUGUUCCAAUUUAGGACAUCGGCAUUGCUCUUAAAUAUGUGAGCAUCAAGAGAUCCAUUUUUCAUGUGUUCAUACACAAGUAACCUAUUACCACCUUCGCAGCAGAAACCAAUCAAUUUGACUAGGUUGAUAUGUUGGAUUAGUCCAAUUGAGCUCACCUCGGCUCUGAAUUGUUUCUCUCCCUGACGGGUACCAUCAAGCCUUUUCACUGCUAUUACUGUAGUUGAAUCACUUAGCACUCCCUUAUAUACAGAACCAAAACCACCACCUCCCAGCUUUUCAGAGAAGUUUUUAGUAGCAUGAGCUAAAUCGGUGUAUCUAAACGCUAUAAUCCCACUAGUGCCUUGAUUGCCGUGCAAUGGAGAACCACAGCACCAGAGUUUGUUCCUCCAAAUCACUAAUAACAGCAUGAGCAUUAGUAACCCAAAACUUGUAAUGCUAGCAGCAGUAACAACUCCAACAUUUGGUUUUCUUUUAUCCUUUUGCAGACUUGUUGGCAGAUCUUUGGCGGCAAGGCGAAGGUAAAGGAUAUCUUCAGAAUUAAUUUCAACGCCAUCAUUCAGACUUACACCAAGCAGCUUCCCAU
rnacentral:lncRNA from 1 species